GCCUCUGAGCGCUCGGUCCCGCGGCCUGGCGCUGCUCGUGACCCCCUGAGUUACACCUCACGGCUUCCCUGUGGUGCCCACAGCUCUAAAAAUGCUUUGAACGAUGGCAGUGCUCGCUGGAGCGUCAAGAUGAGGCAAGCUGGGUUUGGCCAGUGGCUCAAGCCUGCGGUCAUUGCCUCAAUGACAGUGGUACGACCACAAAAGUACCGCACGGCUAGUUGUGUCCUGAGCAAGCCAAGCUCUAGAGAUGGAAGUAAACUUGCUGUUAGGGGAACUCGUAACUACUUAUUUUAGUUGGGUCUCAUGAUCUGCCUGAGUCUCGUGGCCUGCCUUUGCUGCUUCUUUCCACACGGGUAAAGGUUUAGUGACAGCUGCAUGCUGUGCUUUGCUGUCUUCAGAGCAAAGUUGUGCCUCCUCAGAACGAGAGGGGUGUGGGUUGUACCAGAGGGGUCUGUUUGCUGUGCCGAUCUACUGACAUCAGAUGGCCUGACCGAUGUUGCAAUCGUUGCGUGUAAGGAGAUUCCACUCUGCUGAUCUUUUUGGGAUCUGUCUCAAAGGAAACGCGACAAACAGCUGACCUUUUGCUCAUGUCUGCAAACUGACAGCUCAAUCUGGAGGGCAACACCAGCUGACCCUCACAUCCUGGGAGAAGGAUCGUGCUCUGCUUAUCACCUUUGAGGAGGCAUCUCCACAACACAUGCUACUGAUUUCAGGGCAUCUGGAGGAUUGUUCCCCCAAGAGGUGAAAACUUCAAGGGGAAAUAAACCAGUAAUAAAC